rnacentral:rRNA from 1 species
AUUGAACGCUGGCGGCAGGCCUAACACAUGCAAGUCGAACGAGUGGCGGACGGGUGAGUAAUGUCUGGGAAACUGCCUGAUGGAGGGGGAUAACUACUGGAAACGGUAGCUAAUACCGCAUACCAUCGGAUGUGCCCAGAUGGGCUUAGCUAGUGGGUGGGGUAAAGGCUCACCUAGGCGACGAUCCCUAGCUGGUCUGAGAGGAUGACCAGCAACACUGGAAAUGUGACACGGUCCAGACUCCGACGGGGGGCAGCAGUGGGGAAUAUUGCACAAUGGGCGCAAGCCUUAUGCAGCCAUGCCGCGUGUAUGAAGAAGGCCUUCGGGUUGUAAAGUACUUUCAGCGGGGAGGCGUUACCCGCAGAAGAAGCACCGGCUAACUCCGUGCCAGCAGCCGCGGUAAUAC